UUAAACAAAUGAUGAGGAAAUUGGUUUCUUCCUCAUUCAGACUUCAAAGAAAUAGGUUUGUUCUUUCCUUUCUCUCUCUAUCAUUCUCUCUCAGCUUUCUUCUUCAGUUUUGAUUUUCUGGGUUAAUCGAUGAAGAUGAUCAAGGAUUCAAGCAUGCAAAUUGACAAAAAUGAGGAGUAGAAGAAGAGGAAUACAAAGAUUAUAAUGGUUCGAUCUCGAAGACCUAUGUACACUCUACAAAGGUGAACUGGAAGAGGAUGUCUCAGUUGGAUCUUGAGCUGUUCAAAGGUAAAUUUUAGCUCAAUUUCUUUACAGGAAUAUUGUUGGUAAAAGCACAAUUACAAAAUGUCUUGAAGUAUUAAAUGAUAGAAAGGGAAUUUAUUUAAUUAACUCUACUCAUAUUGUUUUAAUUUCAAAAAUUCCCACCCCUUAUUCUGUUGGAGACUAUAGACCUAUUAGUUUGCAUAAUGUCAUUUAUAAAAUCAUUACAAAAACUAUUUCUAAUAGACUUAAACCUUUACCAAACUCUUUAGUUUCCUCUUCAUAAGCUGCUUUUAUCCAUGAAAGAGCCAUAAUUGACAACAUCAUUCUUGACCAUGAAUGCCUACAUCUAUUAAAAAGAAGAAAGAAGAACUUGAAUGGUCUUGUUGCAAUUAAGUAGGACCUCAGUAAAGCAUACGAUAGAGUUGAAUAGAUUUUCUCCAAAAAAUAAUGCUUAAACUUGGUUUUGACCCAUGGUGGGUGUCUUUUAUUAUGGACCGCAUCUCAUCGGAAACUUUCUCUAUUCUCAUUAUGGCAACCUAAAAGGAGCAUUAUUUCAUCUAGAGGACUCAGCCUUGUCUCCUUAUUUUUUUUUUUUUUUUUGUUAUUAUUUGUAAUUGAAGGUCUCUUAUAUCUUAUCCAAAAUGCAAUAUCAAGGAAGACUCUUUCAGGUUUACACUUAACCAAUACUUGUCCUAUCAUUUCACAUCUUCUAUUCAUGGGUGACAACAUGAUCUUUUGAAAAGAAAAAAAAAGAAAGAAUUAUUAAUCAAUAAACAAAUUUUGAACUCCUAUGAAUUAGCUCGGGUGAAAAGAUCAAUUAUGAUAAAUCGACAAUACUCUUCUCAGCUAAUGUUAAUAAGGACAGAGCUAAUUUCUUAUGUAACAUUCUGGGAAUUUCUAAUGUGAAUGACUUAGGACUUUACUUUGGUAUCCUGUCAAUUCUCUCAAGAAGUAGAUCCAAAGAUUUCAGUUAUAUUCUAUGCAAAUUUGAUCAAGGCUGGAAAAGGUCUUUUUUCUUUAAGGCUGGAAAGGAAAUAUUAAUUAAGAGUAUUGGUCAAGCUUUACCCACCUAUGCUAUGAGUUUAUUUAGACUACCAAAAGACUUUUGUAGCAAUAUCACAAAAUCAUUUUCGAAAUUUUGGUGGGACUCUCAAGUUAACAAAAGGAAGAUUCAUUGGAUGAGUUGGAAAAGAAUGCAUCUUCCAAAAGUUCUAGGUGACCUAAAUUUCAUAGAUUUAGAAGGUUUUAAUCAAGCCUUCAUCGCCAAACAAGUCUGGAAAAUUUUAAUGAAUCCAAACAAUCUUGUUUCUAUGGUUUUGAAAAGCCUCUACUUCCCAAACUCCCCAAUCCUUGAAGCUCAACUUGGUAAAAAGUCUUCUUCAAUUUGGAAAAGUUUUUGCUGGGGGAAAACUUAUUGAUAAAAGGUCUACGUUGUAGAAUUGGAAAUGGUUCUUCGAUUCACUUGUUUUUUGAUCCUUAGAUCCCUUGCCCUAAUACUUUUAAACCCAUUUGUUUCAAUCCUCUUCUUACAAACUAAAGUCACUGAUUUCAUUCAUCUAAAUGAAUCCUGGAAUAUUAAUCUUUUGGAUGAGUACUUGUUCGAAGAUAAUAUUGCUUGUAUAAAAAAAAAAAAUAUAACUUUCUUAAGAUGGAAGUUGGGAGGUAAUCUUUUACCAACUUUCCUAUGAUGGAAGUUGGGAGGUAAUCUUUUACAAACUUUCCUAUGACGGAGAUCAGGAAGUCAAGAUAUUGACUUUUCUAAUAUUCUUGAGAUGAUGAAUUUAUUUUGGGAUCCUACAUUAAAUUAAAAAUACAAUUUACUAAUAGCCUUUGGCCACUUAUGGUUGUUUUCAUUAUUGAUAAUAACAAUGAUCAGUAAAAUAUGUGACAUUUAAAAAUCAAAACAAAAAUAUCUUUUUCUUUACAAAAAGUCUUUCUUUAAUAACACAAGAAAAUAAAAUAAAAUUGCAUUAUUGGAAUGAGUGUUGUGAGAUGCUAACACCUUCCUCAUACACAAAAACCUACAAACCCUUUAUGUUUUCUUUCCAGACCAAUUUAGCAUAUUUUGGGUGUCCAGUCCCACUCUCCAAAUCAAGAUUGAUAACGACUUUAUUUUCCUCCUCUUGGGAACAACGUCAGUCGCUCUGUGUUGCAAACCCAUAGGUCGUAGCAAUAGCUUGACGACUCUAUUGGGAAAAUGCUUUAUUUGUUUUCAUGUUUAUAUAUAUAUAUAUUAUUACUAUUGUAAUCACACACAUGUACACAAACCCCCUAUCUGAGCUAUACCCAUAAGUUUAGAAUCGAGGAUUAGUAGUGUCGACUUUCGUAGAGCUAUGUCUCCCGUAUGGGUACGCAAAAACCCUCACUCAGGUCAACCUUAUUCAGGAUACUGAUGAGAGUGCCUCUAUUUUUUUCUUGAAUAAAGAGAAAACAAAGGAUAACUUGAGGACCUUGCUUCAUUAGACAUUAUAGCCUAACCACACAUAUUACGUUUGUACAUAGAUGUAAAUAAUUUGUACUCCUGUUAUUGUUAUACUUCAUAACUACGUCCCUCGAUCUUCCUCAUAGUUUUUCUCAUUAAAAAAAUAUUCUCUUUUUUUAACCGUUAUUUUUUUUUUUAAAAUAUACCUCUUUGCAAAAAAAAAAAAAAAAAAAA